rnacentral:rRNA from 1 species
AACGAACGCUGGCGGCAUGCCUAACACAUGCAAGUCGAACGAGACCUUCGGGUCUAGUGGCGCACGGGUGCGUAACGCGUGGGAACCUGCCCUUAGGUUCGGAAUAACUCCCCGAAAGGGGUGCUAAUACCGGAUAAUGUCUUCGGACCAAAGAUUUAUCGCCUUUGGAUGGGCCCGCGUUGGAUUAGCUGGUUGGUAGGGUAAAAGCCUACCAAGGCGACGAUCCAUAGCUGGUCUGAGAGGAUGAUCAGCCACACUGGGACUGAGACACGGCCCAGACUCCUACGGGAGGGAGCAGUGGGGAAUAUUGGACAAUGGGCGAAAGCCUGAUCCAGCAAUGCCGCGUGAGUGAUGAAGGCCUUAGGGUUGUAAAGCUCUUUUACCCGGGAUGAUAAUGACAGUACCGGGAGAAUAAGCUCCGGCUAACUCCGUG